rnacentral:rRNA from 1 species
UACGAAGGGUGCAAGCGUUACUCGGAAUUAUUGGGCGUAAAGGGUAGGUAGGUGGUCUCAUUUGUCUGAGGUGAAAUCCUUGGGCUUAACCUGAGAAGGGCCUCAGAAACGGUGAGACUAGAGUUCUGGAGAGGGUCGUGGAAUUCCCGGUGUAGCGGUGAAAUGCGUAGAGAUCGGGAGGAACACCAGAGGCGAAGGCGGCGACCUGGACAGACACUGACACUCAACUACGAAAGCGUGGGGAGCAAACAGG